rnacentral:rRNA from 1 species
AUGACCAAACCAUUUCAUCACACCACAUGCAGUACAAUGCCUGGGGUGUUCGUGACAUUGAUGGCUAUGGCUGCUUCAUGUUCGAGAAAGAUCCCAGCUCCGUUGGGCCAGGCGUAUUCAACUGGAGGCAGGGCGUUCAAAAGGGGCACGUGGACACGUCGCAAGAUACAGUCGGAGUGUGGCAUGCACGUGAUGUGGCACAACACCGACAAUACCUUGCCGGUGAUGGUCAACGGCUGGCAGACGGGCAUCAGAAAGGUUCUGGUGCUUCACACCAACAAGAACUUCGACCAGCAGAGGACCAACUGGGUGAUGCACCAGUACCACCUCGUGGAACUAGAGCAAGAGAAGGAGCAGGAGCUGGUCCUCUGCAAGAUUUUCUACCACACGAACACUAGGGCCAGGACUAAAAAGAUUAUAAGUCGAGCAAGUUUCAACUGGGCUGUAGACUGCCCAGACUUGGUUUUGUUUUUAACAGGCCCAGCCCAUGACGGCAACGGGGCACAAAGAUCCAACAGAAGGGAGAGAGUAGGGAGCAAGGAGGACACCACACCGGUUGGUCUUCUGUUCCUGUUGGGCGGCACCGCGGCAGUGUCGGCCAGCCGCCAGCGCGGCGGCGUCUAG